rnacentral:lncRNA from 1 species
UAUCAUAUUCCAAGAUCUAGGAAUAUAUAUAACUGAAACUUCUUCAAACAUCCUCAUUAGCUUCCAUAUAUCUUCACACAUGGUAUCUAUCUCCCAUGAAGCUACACUCCUCUUCAUAACCAUGUCCACUACAUUCUUUGCAUUUGAUAAAAUCUGCACCUUUGUCCAUCCAUUUUCUUGAGCUUUUUCAAUGCAAUCCGAAUUGCAAACGCUUCUGCAGUGAUGGUCUUCCCAACAAAUUGAAGUAGGGAGCCAAGGGCUUGAAGCAAAUUUCCAGAGCUAUCCAUAGCUGUCAUGCCAAUGCUUAUCAUAUUCUUCUCCUUUUGUAAACUAGCAUCUGCAAACAUAACCACAAAAUCUUGUUCUACAAUAAUUGUAUUAUUAGUAGUAUGGUCAGGACCCAAUGUGAGAGAAGGAGUAGCAAAUGAAUUACUUUCAUAUUCCUGAAAAUAAAAAAGAGCGUUAUUUAUAAUUUCAUUAGAUUCAUAGAUU